rnacentral:lncRNA from 1 species
UUCACCGUUCUCGCACGCCGAAGCCUAAUUUUAAUAAUCUUUCCUGAAGCUCAGCUGCACUCGGAACUCUUGCGAAGACCACGCACACGUUAGCUCACUGAUUGUUCGAGCUAGACGUGCUCUUUAGUUUCCUACACAAAGAGAAAACACCAAGAGACUAAGUUAGAAGGUGCAGCUGCAACAGAGAGAUAAAGUAACAGGAAAUAGAAGAGAUGGGGCAGCUGAGUGGCUGCCCGGAAACGGAGCAGCAGCGGCUGUCCAGAAACGACGCGGAGCAGCUGUCGGAGACGACGCAGCCACAGCUGGCAAGACGACGCAGCAGCGGCAGAUGGAGAGAUGACGCAGCAGCAGCAGCUGGCGAGACGACGCAGCAGCGACUCUCUCCUCGGCUCAGAACUCGGUCUCUCUCAAACCCAAAUGUAGUCCUCUUCCGG